GACGAACCGUGCGAACGUUAUUCGGAAUCACUGGGCUUAAAGCGCGUGUAGGCGGGACGGCACGUCUGUCGCUGAAAUCCCCCGGCUUAACCGGGGAACUGGCGUAGAUACGACCGUCCUGGAGGGGCGUAGGGGGACCUGGAACUUCCGGUGGAGCGGUGAAAUGCGUUGAGAUCGGAAGGAACGCCCGUGGCGAAAGCGAGGUCCUGGACGCCUACUGACGCUGAGACGCGAAAGCCAGGG
rnacentral:rRNA from 1 species